rnacentral:rRNA from 1 species
GAUGAACGCUAGCGGGAGGCCUAACACAUGCAAGCCGAGCGGUAGAAUCUUUUCGGAGAUUUGAGAGCGGCGUACGGGUGAGGAACACGUGUGCAACCUGCCUUUAUCUGGGAGAUAGCCUUUCGAAAGGAAGAUUAAUAUCCCAUAAUAUAUUGAGUGGCAUCACUUAAUAUUGAAAGCUCAGGCGGAUAGAGAUGGGCACGCGCAAGAUUAGAUAGUUGGUGAGGUAACGGCUCACCAAGUCUACGAUCUUUAGGGGGCCUGAGAGGGUGAUCCCCCACACUGGUACUGAGACACGGACCAGACUCCUACGGGAGGCAGCAGUGAGGAAUAUUGGACAAUGGGUGCAAGCCUGAUCCAGCCAUCCCGCGUGAAGGAUUAAGGUCCUAUGGAUUGUAAACUUCUUUUAUACAGGGAUAAACCUCUCCUCGUGAGGAGAGCUGAAGGUACUGUAUGAAUAAGCACCGGCUAACUCCGUGCCAGCCGCCGCCGUAA